AGGGCACAGAUUUGAAAUGUCUGCACAGCGACCAGCGAGGACCUCCGGCUCAACAGAGAAAAAUGGGAGCUUUGAUCCCCAGCUGUUCCCCAAAGAACCAAAGAUCACUGCAGUCUGACUUUUACAGACUCCGGACCGCCGUUGCAGCCUGUGACUCCGAGGUGCAAACUCGGCCAACCCAGAGAGGAUGCCUGAAGCUUCUUGCGGGCUUUGACCAAGUUUAGGACUCAGAGGCCCUGCAGGAGAAGCUGGUGCGCUUUGUCAUCGAGCAACACACCUGGUCCCGGACUCAGAGAGGCUGAAAGGCGAUCCAGCAGGAGCUGAGGAAGCUGCAGCCUGGCUGCCACCUGCCACCAGCAAGAGCAGAAUGCGCCAGUUGCUACCGCUUUCAUUUCUGAUGCUUUACAAAGGCCAAGCUGAAGACUGCACCACCAGAAGCUUGGCUCCAUCUCCUCUUCCUGACUGGUGAUGCUUAGCAGUCCUGUCCUCUAGCUGAGUGGGUCUGGAAGGUGUGUCUCCCCCAACACACACCUCCUGGCGCGCUUCCCUGGGGCUGUGCUCCUGGCCAAACGGAGUGGUUUUCAGAGGCAGGAGAGAAGAGUUCUGUUGAGGUAUAUAAUUACCCUUUCCUUGGCUAUGAACUUUCAGAAUACGGAGAGGCCACACACCCAAGGACCUCUUACAACUAGUGGUGACCUGCUUGACUUUCUAGGAGGAUCUGCCUGGCCAUCUCAGCCAGUCCUCUGGGCAGCAGCAAAGUGCCCAGGCGGGCUAAGUGUGUGCAGCAGAGAUUCGGAAGUCAGAGGUGGGCUGCCAUGUCUUGGCCUUGUGUCAUGGCUUGAAUGAACUGCCUUUUUCUCAUCUUUCUCCUGGCCAUGAUAGUAUCCAAAGCAAAAUGUUGCUGAAUAAAUGAAAGAGCCCCUGGUGGCUGAUUUGAGCAACAAAAUAUAGUGGUAUUGCAUCGUAAUCCAAAGCAUAAAGCAAAUAUCCAUGAGUCUGUACUGAUAGAAAGGAAUGAUUGAUAAAUUAAUAAAUGAGGGCAAAGACUCACAUCUUCCAUGCAGAUGAAUUCCAAGUAAUUUAUGCAGAUAUUUCAUCCUAAAGGAGAGGCUAUACAUAGCAACUUCCUUCCAAGUAAGAGGAACUUUCCAGGGGAGAGUUCCUCCUCCGCUAGGUAAAUAAGGUCAGCAGCAGCAGUCAUAAAUCGUGUCGCUAGCAUGGACCCUUGAUGUGUUGUGAUGAAAAGAGCACUUUACUUCUUUGAUCUUCCUCCCCUAAACUCACAACCUCAAUCUAAUCAUGAGGAAAACACCAGACAAAUUCUGAUACUAGGACAUCCCACCCUGUACUUGACCAGUGCUCCUCAAAACGGUCAAGGUCAUCAAAAAACAGGAAAGCCUGAGAAACUGUCAGAGCCCGGAAGAACCUAAGGAGACAAGAACAACCAAAUGUCAUGUGGCAUCCUGGACAGGAGGGUCCUGGAACAGAAAAAAGACAUUGGCUUAAAACCAUAGAAAUCUGAAUCAAUGAUGGAACUUAAUAAUAGGAUAUGAAUAUUAGUUCAUUGAUGGUGACCAAUGUACCAUACUAAUGUAAGAUGCCAUUAAUAGGGGAAUUCUUAGUGUGGGGUGGAGGACUAUGUGAGAAUGAUGUAGAAUCUCUGCAAUUUUCCCUGUAAAUUAAAAAAUAAAGCUUAUUUAUUAGAAAAUUUUUAAAACCAGAAAAAACAUGAAGAGAUGGUUAUAACAAACAUUUGUGUUCCACACAUGCAUGAAUAAUUAAGAUUUCAUCAUAUUUACUUUGACAAUAUUAAUAAAUGAAUUAUUAAAUUAAAAGGGUUGCUGGGAAGAUCAACUGAAAAUAUGGCUGUAUCUAUAAAAUAGAUAAAGAACAAGGGUUUACUGUAUGACAUGGAGAACUAUAUUCAGUAUCUUAUAAUAACCUAUGAUGGAGAAGAAUCUGAAAAAAAGUGUAAUGAAUCAUUUGCUAUACACCUGAAACUAACAUGAUAUGGUAAAUCAACCAUACCUCAAUUAAAAAAAUAUUUUUUUUAAGUCCCGUAACCCCCCAACCACCCUCACCCCCAAAGAUGGAUGUAAAAGUACUAUAGCACCUAUGGUGGAGAAAAGAUAGUUGCAAGUUCUUUGUCUCAGCCUACGCUGAGAAAUGGGCUGUGUUUCUCCACCGUCUUGAACGGGGACAGAAAUACUGCUGUGCCACUGCGAGGUCUAGCUUUGACAAGACUGACUGCUUCUGCCUUCUUCCUUCUGGAACUCAACUGCCAUGCUGUGAGGCAGCCCAUGUCGCCAUGUGGAGGAGCCCAGGAUUCUUCUCCACUUGUCGCUGAAGUCCUAGCCGACAGCCAGCACUGGCUCGCCAGGAACGUGAGUGAAUCACCUGGAAAAUGCAUCUUCCAGCUCCAGCCAAACUGACCCUGCUGAUGCCCAUUGGAGCAGACAGGAAUUGUCCCCACCAGGCUCUGCCCAACUGCAAAAUCAUAAGCAAAUAUAUGAUCUUCCUGGUUUUAAAGCUUGAUUUGGGGAUGAUUUGUUACAUAGCAAACACUGUACAAAAAGAAAUAUUUGACCUCAUGUUCUAUCAUUUAUUUAUUUAUUUUAAAAAAUUCUUCCACAGGUUGAGAUGUUUCCCAAAAUGCUUCACACAUUUUCUGCGAUGACAUAUUUUACAACUAUUCUGUAGACUCAGGUCCUAGCUCUUCGUCAUGGGGAGAGCUUCCAGCCAUAAAUACCAUUUUAGGGAAGAGUUUCCUGAAGAGUGCCCUGUGGAAUGGAAGACCUACACAGUUCUCUAGAGCUGCAGUGUCCAAUAUGGUAGCCAUAAAUGGCUACCAAGCACUUGAAAUGUGGCUAGUUUGAGAGGUACUGGAAGCAUACACAACUCACCAGGCUUUGCCCAAACUCACCAGACUUUUUUCUUCAAAAAAGAAUGGAAAAUAUCUCCUUAAUAACUUUGUAUUAUGUGUUGAACUGAUACUAUUUGGAUGUAUUGUAUUAAAUAAGAUAUAUUCU
rnacentral:lncRNA from 1 species